rnacentral:rRNA from 1 species
UACGGGGGGGGCAAGCGUUGUUCGGAAUCACUGGGCGUAAAGCGCACGUAGGCGGCUUUCUAAGUCAGGGGUGAAAUCCUGGAGCUCAACUCCAGAACUGCCUUUGAUACUGGGGAGCUCGAGUCCGGAAGAGGUGAGUGGAACUCCGAGUGUAGAGGUGAAAUUCGUAGAUAUUCGGAAGAACACCAGUGGCGAAGGCGGCUCACUGGUCCGGUACUGACGCUGAGGUGCGAAAGCGUGGGGAGCAAACAGG